UACGUAGGCAGCAAGCGUUGUUCGGAGUUACUGGGCGUAAAGGGUGCGUAGGCGGUUGUUUAAGUUUGGUGUGAAAUCUCCCGGCUCAACUGGGAGGGUGCGCCGAAUACUGAAUGACUAGAGUGCGGGAGAGGAAAGUGGAAUUCCUGGUGUAGCGGUGAAAUGCGUAGAUAUCAGGAGGAACACCGGUGGUGUAAACGGCUUUCUGGACCAUAACUGACGCUGAGGCACGAAAGCGUGGGUAGCAAACAGG
rnacentral:rRNA from 1 species